rnacentral:lncRNA from 10 species
CUAACCAACAAAAGAAUUCCUUCUGGAACAUCUCUGCUGGAGGGCCAGAUAAUCUCUGCUAGAACAAUUUAGAGUCAGGGCUUUAGAGAACGCUCUGCAGAAUACCGUGUCUGGAAAGAGACAAGUUCAGAGAGAUUUCCAAGGGUAGCAGACCAGAGGCAGCUUUGCCCUUCAGAAGGUGAAGGCUACUUGGAGAGCUGGCAUCUGAAGAUCAUUUCCAGAGACGAUGGUGAUAUUGGAAGGAGACGAUUACCCAUCUCUAGUCCUGACCCUUCACUCAAGCCCCACUGCUGCCUCAAACAAUCCAUGGCCAUGGCACCUCAAACCUCUCCUUUGCAUCACUGUCAGAGCUGUCCAGAUGGGUUCUGCUUGGUUGGUGGAUUCGCAGGCCUUGGACUGUGGGGCUGACUCGAGAUAAUUUCCACACGCCACUGAGCAUUUUUACUGGGAAGCGUUUCUUUCCUUCUCCUGGAUGAUGGUGUUAUCGGACUUGUAUAGAUUAGGAGGGAGACCUUAGGUUUCAGAAUCAGACUGACCUUAAUUCAAGUCCAAGCUACCCACUAGUAUUGGGCAAAUUAUUGUACUCAGAGUCUCAUAACACACAACUCACAAAUAUGUUAGCAAAAAUUAGAUACACGUAGAUAAUGCACACAGGAAACGUGGCACAUAGGAGGCAUUAAAUAAAUUUUUUCUCUUCUAUUAAAAAGUAAUGUUUGUUCUGUUUACAUUUACUUAUAUUUUGCAUUUUUUUUUCCUCUAAAACUUACAUGUGGGGCCAGAGGGUUCCAAUUUGCUUGUUGCCCGUACCUGUAGGGGAAGUGAACCUUAGCAGGUUUGGUAUACAGUGC